CGGUCCGAGUUGUAAUUUGCAGAGGAUGCUUUUGGUGCGGUGCCUUCCGAGUUCCCUGGAACGGGACGCCAUAGAGGGUGAGAGCCCCGUACGGUUGGACACCUAGCCUCUAUAUAGCUCCUUCGACGAGUCGAGUAGUUUGGGAAUGCUGCUCUAAAUGGGAGGUAAAUUUCUUCUAAAGCUAAAUACCGGCCAGAGACCGAUAGCGCACAAGUAGAGUGAUCGAAAGAUGAAAAGCACUUUGAAAAGAGGGUUAAAUAGCACGUGAAAUUGUUGAAAGGGAAGCGUUUGCGACCAGACCUUCUCCAGGGGGAUCAACCGUUAUUUUUAGCGGUGCACUCCCCCUGGUUUAGGCCAGCAUCGGUUCUCUUAGGGGGAUAAAGGCCUGGGGAACGUAGCUCUUUAGGGAGUGUUAUAGCCCCUAGCGUAAUACCCUUCAGGGGACCGAGGACCGCGCUUCGGCAAGGAUGCUGGCGUAAUGGUCGUCAACGACCCGUCUUGAAACACGGACCAAGGAGUCGAACAUUUGUGCGAGUGUUUGGGUGUUAAACCCUCACGCGUAAUGAAAGUGAACGGAGGUGAGAGCCUUAGGGUGCAUCAUCGACCGAUCCUGAUGUCUUCGGAUGGAUUUGAGUAAGAGCAUAACUGUUCGGACCCGAAAGAUGGUGAACUAUGCGUGGAUAGGGUGAAGCCAGAGGAAACUCUGGUGGAGGCUCGCAGCGGUUCUGACGUGCAAAUCGAUCGUCAAAUCUGCGCAUGGGGGCGAAAGACUUAUCGA
rnacentral:rRNA from 1 species